rnacentral:tRNA from 1 species
UGGGGCUCUGGCUUAGUGGUAGAGUGCUUGCCUAGCAUGCACAAGGCCCUAGGUUCAAUUGCCAGGCUGCAA